CAGUCGCCGCGGUAAUACGGAGGGAGCUAGCGUUGUUCGGAAUCACUGGGCGUAAAGCGCACGUAGGCGGCUAUUCAAGUCAGGGGUGAAAGCCCGGGGCUCAACCCCGGAACUGCCUUUGAAACUAGAUAGCUUGAAUCUUGGAGAGGCGAGUGGAAUUCCGAGUGUAGAGGUGAAAUUCGUAGAUAUUCGGAAGAACACCAGUGGCGAAGGCGACUCGCUGGACAAGUAUUGACGCUGAGGUGCGAAAGCGUGGGGAGCAAACAGGAUUAGAUACCCCUGUAGUCCCUGUCUCUUAUAC
rnacentral:rRNA from 1 species